rnacentral:lncRNA from 1 species
UGCUGAGGUACUGAGAUUUGAUCUUCUAUUUAUUUUAUUUUUAGAUUAUAUGUAUGUCUUUUUUUUAGAUUUGAGUAGGAUUAGAUAUGAUCUUAUGCAUGUGGGGUUAAAAGAUUUAACCUAAUUAUUUUUCACUAUGUUUUGUAUAGAUUUUUGAAAUCUAUGCAUGCAUCCUACCCGAUUUUCUAACUUCAGCAGGUAUCAGAUUGAUCCAGGAGAGGAUCAUUGAAAAUCUAUGAA